UAUGACUUCUGGGAAAAAAGGAAAGAAAAGAAAGUCCUAGUGGCCGACAGUGAUCAGUCAUCAUGUGAUCAAUUGUGUUUCCAUGGAGAGCAGAAGCCGAGGGAGGGGUCUACGCAUGCGUGGGGCUCACUUAGCGGCACACUCAUCUGUGGCCAAGUUCACCCAUAUCCAUGGGCCUAGGGCGGGUUUCCUCUUUCAGUUGUGAGGUCUCCCGCUCUCCCUGAAGUCAGCAAAUGCCAGGCCCACCCUGAGGACAGCUGGAGCUCUGAGCCCAGGCCGUGGCCUCUUCAUGGCCCUCGGGGUGCUGUGAGGGGGUGGAAGUGAAAGCAAGACCCACCAUCAGGACUCAGGCGUGUUUUUCAGACCCACCGAGGAUGAUUUUUCUCUCCAUCACCUGCACCUCCCAAUCAGAGCCCAGCUGGUGGACACCUUGACCUUGACCUUGACCUUGAGGACUGGGAGCAGAGAAACCAAUCAAGCCAUCUCAGGCUUGUGACCUAGAGGACUGUGAAAUAAUAAAGAUGUACUGAUUUAAGCAGAGUCUUGCUCCGUCUUCUGGGCUGAAGUGCAGU